rnacentral:rRNA from 1 species
UACAGAGGUGGCAAGCGUUGUUCGGAAUUACUGGGCGUAAAGGGCGCGUAGGCGGUUCGUUAAGUCCUGUGUGAAAUCCCCGAGCUUAACUUGGGAAUUGCGCUCGAAACUACGUGGCUCGAGUGUGGCAGAGGAAGGUGGAAUUCCACGUGUAGCGGUGAAAUGCGUAGAGAUGUGGAGGAACACCGAUGGCGAAGGCAGGUCUCUGGGCCGAUACUGACGCUGAGGAGCGAAAGCGUGGGGAGCGAACAGG